rnacentral:rRNA from 1 species
UACGGAGGGGGCUAGCGUUGUUCGGAAUUACUGGGCGUAAAGCGCACGUAGGCGGUGGUGCAUGUCAGAUGUGAAAGCCCUGGGCUUAACCUAGGAAUUGCAUUUGAAACGGCGCCGCUAGAGACCGGAAGAGGGUAGUGGAAUUCCCAGUGUAGAGGUGAAAUUCGUAGAUAUUGGGAAGAACACCAGUGGCGAAGGCGGCUACCUGGUCCGGUACUGACGCUGAGGUGCGAAAGCGUGGGGAGCAAACAGG